UGAGGAAUAUUGGUCAAUGGGCGCGAGCCUGAACCAGCCAAGUAGCGUGAAGGAUGACUGCCCUAUGGGUUGUAAACUUCUUUUAUAUGGGAAUAAAGUUUUCCACGUGUGGAAUUUUGUAUGUACCAUAUGAAUAAGGAUCGGCUAACUCCGUGCCAGCAGCCGCGGUAAUACGGAGGAUCCGAGCGUUAUCCGGAUUUAUUGGGUUUAAAGGGAGCGUAGGUGGACAGUUAAGUCAGUUGUGAAAGUUUGCGGCUCAACCGUAAAAUUGCAGUUGAUACUGGCUGUCUUGAGUACAGUAGAGGUGGGCGGAAUUCGUGGUGUAGCGGUGAAAUGCUUAGAUAUCACGAAGAACUCCGAUUGCGAAGGCAGCUCACUGGACUGCAACUGACACUGAUGCUCGAAAGUGUGGGUAUCAAACAGGAUUAGAUACCCUGGUA
rnacentral:rRNA from 1 species